UGGGGAAUUGUUCGCAAUGGGCGCAAGCCUGACGACGCAACGCCGCGUGGAGGAUGAAGACCUUCGGGUCGUAAACUCCUUUCGAUCGAGACGAAUGGGCCCUGGGGGAAUAUCCCGGGGCAGUGACGGUACCGAGAGAAGAAGCCCCGGCUAACUCCGUGCCAGCAGCCGCGGUAAUACGGGGGGGGCAAGCGUUGUUCGGAAUUACUGGGCGUAAAGGGCUCGUAGGCGGCCAACUAAGUCAGGCGUGAAAUCCCUCGGCUUAACCGGGGAAUGGCGUCUGAUACUGGAUGGCUUGAGUUCGGGAGAGGGAUGCGGAAUUCCAGGUGUAGCGGUGAAAUGCGUAGAUAUCUGGAGGAACACCGGUGGCGAAGGCGGCAUCCUGGACCGAGACUGACGCUGAGGAGCGAAAGCCAGGGGAGCAAACGG
rnacentral:rRNA from 1 species